CUAUGUCCCUGCAGCACAGAAAGAGAAGGGAAUAUGGGAUGCACCAUCAGCUUCCCGGUUCACCAAUAGCUUGAUGCUAUACUGCAGGAUGACAUCCUUGCAGGUAUCACUGCCAGGGUUCAUUACAUCCUCAGUGGUUCUUUUACAGUAUAUUGUUGUAGAUGGGGCUGCCAUUUAAAGUUGUCAUCCAAGCAACAAGGGAUUCACAGUCCCCAAUAUAGAGAGACAUGACUUUUUCAUCUUCCAAUUUUUCACCCUCAGCCAGGGGUCAAACCUGAUUUUUUACAGAUUAAAAGCUGGAAGCACUAGCCACUGCAUCAUCAAGCUAUUAUGUAUCAGAGGGAGAAAAGACAAAGUUCAUGGAAAAGAAAGCAUCAUAUCAAUGUAAAUUCAUAAACUCAUAUGGAAAAAGGUUGUAGGAACCAAAGAAGAUCAGAAAUAGGUGAUAGCUGAUUGGAGAUAGGUCAUUCCAAUGGAUCGAAGAAUAGCUGGAAUAUUAUUCUCUAUUCUAAAUUAAUAUUAUAUUAUUUUGCUCUAACAACUUAUUUUGAAAUAGGUACUGUAUAUAUAGAAAGAAAGUAAAAGUUUAGAAUAUAUUAAAAUUAUUACUGAGUUAAUUGCAGUAUAUGCUAAUACAUACUUGUAAUCUUGAUCUAAUGACUUGGUAAGGGUAGGUGACACUAGCGGCAAAUAUCUUAGACAAGGAAGCCAUAAUCAAGUAAUCAAAAGAAUUCUGGGGAAAAAAGAAGAAAAGUAUUUAUUGAGAGAUUGCUCGAUCGCCUCAAUGUGACCAGGGUUCAAUUUCUAGACCUGGUGCCAUAUGCAAGUAGAGUUUUCUAGUUGGUUUUCUUCUGUGCUUUGAGGGUUUUUAACCUGGUUUUACCGGCUUACCUACUGUACCUGCCGCAAAAACCACCUUUUCUAAAUUCCUAUUCCAUCAGGGAAAGAGGGACAAGUGUUACCCUUGUAAACCAGAACAAUAUUAUUAUAAAUAUGCAUGCAAAUCUACUACAGUACCUACCAGUUUCUGGUUGAUUGGUGGAUUAAAAUAAUGACUAUGAGCUUUCUUUAAUUCUUCGUAGGCCAUAAAUUGAAGUGCUCCAUGGGUUACACCAAAUAUUCCUGGUAGAUAUCCCUGAUGGAAAAUAAUCAAGCCUAUCAUAAUUAAUACAUGUAACAUAUGCUGUAAACCUGGAACUGGUGCAGAGCACCCUAGAUAGUGGUAGAACGGAAGCAAGAUAAAUUUUCAUUCACCCACCAUGACCAUAUUCUAAUGAUGGAAUGGCAAUAAUGAAAUUAACAAACCUUGUACAGCCCCCUCAAGCCUUCAUAUCUCCACACUUUUACCAAAGUAUCUAGUUUUGCAAAGGACAA